UGCACUGGUCUCCAAGGCUUCCUUGUCUUUAAUGCUGUUGGGGGUGGAACUGGUUCAGGCCUCGGAUCUCUGCUCCUCGAGCGUUUGUCUGUUGACUAUGGGAAGAAGUCGAAGCUUGGCUUCACUGUCUACCCUUCUCCGCAGGUCUCCACAUCUGUUGUUGAGCCAUAUAACAGUGUGCUCUCCACUCACUCCCUGUUGGAGCACACUGAUGUGGCUGUUCUGCUUGACAAUGAAGCUAUCUACGACAUCUGCAGGCGCUCUCUGGACAUUGAGAGGCCUACCUACACCAACCUCAACCGCCUUGUCUCUCAGGUGAUUUCGUCUCUGACUGCUUCUCUCCGGUUUGAUGGAGCCCUCAAUGUUGAUGUCACUGAGUUCCAGACCAAUCUGGUUCCUUAUCCCAGGAUCCACUUCAUGCUUUCAUCAUAUGCCCCCGUCAUAUCUGCUGAGAAGGCUUACCAUGAGCAGCUCUCUGUUGCUGAGAUCACCAACAGUGCCUUUGAGCCGUCUUCCAUGAUGGCCAAGUGUG
rnacentral:misc_RNA from 1 species